UCUUUCACAUCAAACUUCUCUUAAUCUUAAAUUGUUUCUAGCUAAUUUUUUUGUCUAUUUUCUUUAUAGUUUCCCCAUGUCUUUCAAUGCUGUACUUUUUCAUUGUGAAACUAAGCAUAUUUGCAACUUUAUUUGCCACUCUGUUUUAUUGUGAGCUUAACCUGGAAUUACCAUCAAAAGAUGGCCCUGAAACUGAGGUUCUGACAGAGCAAGUGUUGGGUAUGAAAGAAAUGAUAGUUCCCCUUUUUGCUGGAAUCUUAUCAGCACUCAGAAGGGUGACUGCACAGCGUGUCUCUCGAGGUGCUGAUCUUCAGCUAAAUGCAUAUUGUGCAUUCUCUAUUCACCCAUUUAUUUCAAAUACAUUUUCCCCCUUUCAUAAUUGAUGUAAGCUCCCUGAUAUCCACGACAAUAUCAGAUUCUAACCAUUUUCUGACUUCAGAAUCAACUUAAAAGACGGCUCCAUGUCAUAACUAUUGCUUCUGCAACAUGAUUUCUGUUUCCUAUGGCCAUGUGGGGACAUGAUCAUAGGAUCACCUUCUGAUAACGGUAUGGAGUUUGUAGAAGAAAGGUCAUGAAGAUUGCACGGGACAACACUAAAAAAUCGUUGCAGUUUAUACAUGAAAGAGGAAUUGCUUACCUAGAUGUGAGACAUUGUAAUAUUUAUGUAAAGAAUGAUGUUUAUAAAUUUGGUGAUUUUGGAUGUGCAAUUCUCACGAUAAGAGCGUGCCAAUGGAAUAGUGAUUUUGUAUAUUGUUCAAUUUAUGUAAAGAAUGUGUUUAAUUUGGUGUUGUUUAGAAUGUAUCUUUGAAGAGCUUUCGUCUUGGUUUUUGUCAUCAAUUCAAAGUUUCCAA